rnacentral:rRNA from 1 species
CGGACCUCAGAUCAGGCAAGACCACCAGCU